ACAUAGGAGCAUUUCCCCAUAGUUGCUGGUAGCGUCAGAGGAUCUCAGAAGGGUGACUCAGAAGCGAGGCAUUGAUUUUGGCCAGGAGUCUUCAUGCCAUAGUGCUUCUCUGUAACACCCACGUUUGGCCUCCUUUUUGCUUCCUAGUUGCCUGCCACACAGCAGUUGCUAAAUCUCCAUGUCUGUAGAGACAUAGAUAUGUCUUCCUCAAGAACAAAAGAGAGGAGGUAACUGCAUAUUUAGCUAACAUCUAGCUUGAAAUUCUGUAACAAAUCAGAGAGAGCAUUGGCGUUUUCUCCUCCUCUGGUGCCAAGACACGACUCGGUGAGAAUAUCACGAGGUAACCUCUCCUCCCCACAACAAAUCCCACGUAAGGAUCGCAAAUCCAGUCGCUGAACUCCCGCCCGGUGACGCAGCCCAGACGCGCCCCGACAAGGCCGCUCCUCCCGCUUCCCGUUCCUCCCGUCUCCGCCUCCUGUGCCUCAGCAAAAACAACCGCGGUGCUGGCGCAGCGGCGGGCAGGAAGCUUUGGGAAGAAUUCCAGCAGUGAGAUUGUUCCCCUGUGGAGAACGACUGCCAUCUCAUGUUAAAUGCAUGCACAGCUCAGGACUUGGCCGGCUGUGUUCUUCUGCAGGAAAAAAGGGGGUGGAGACAGUGCAGGAAUGGCCUUUACUGUGAAGUAAACAAGAGACUUCCAAGAAACGUUCUGCAGCGUGAUAGAGACGUCAGGAUUGAACUCGACUUCAGAGAUCAGCUGAUGAAAUAGGUCACACAACUGGAUGUUUCACAAGCAGUUAUUAUUAUUUCAAGUACUGUGUAGCAGAAGAGACAUAACCUUAUAUGUCGCAUUUAUUUUAUUCAAGUUUAUCAUUUAUUACUGACGCAAUUAACAAAUGACUAGGCAAUUCAGGAAGAAAAAUGGUGAGCUAGGGAACUGAGACCUGCAUUAAAUUAUUUUCUUGGAUACAGAAUUUCUGUGACCAGCCAAAGUCUGAAACACGAUCAAAGAUCUUUUAGCUAUUCAAUUCUGCUUUGUGCUAUCCCUGGAGGUAUCUUACCGGCAUUCCUUUCUAGAUCCCUUGAUGGUUGUAAUCUCAAUCUUUACAUUCCUAAACACAUUUAGUAACCUGGUCCUUUCUCUCCUUAUCUGCAAAAUGGCUGUAUUAUUCUGUAUUUCACAAGGAGUGUUGCGAAUAUAAACAUGUUAAAGUCUGUGAGGUUUUGGGUAGCAUAGUAGAAAGAGCUGUGCAGUCACUUCAGAUAGAUGUUCAGUCUGUGACCUGUGCAUUCAUAUCAACAUUAACAUAUAAAGUAAUUAUUAACUAAGGUAAUAAAAAUAAAAUAAAUAAUGACUGCUUAUUAUUU
rnacentral:lncRNA from 1 species